AAUAGGCCUGUUGUGUUGCUCACACUUUACUGGUUGUACUCACCUUGAUUGAAGCAAAACUCUUCUGGUGCUAUACUGUGCCAUGUUUCUUACCUUUAACCCGGUGGGACUGUAAUACACCUGGGUGUUAAUUUGUUUUGUUUUAAGGACACGAAUUGGAUAUGCCUGAAGAGUGAAGAGGCAGUUUUGUAUCUCUGCGAUCUAACUUAUUUUUUGAGGCAGUUUUUCAUCUCUGUGAUCUAACUUAUUUUUUGGCAUUUUGAAAGAGCUGCAGACCACUGGUUUAAGGAGGCCAAAGACAAAUAUACAACUCUCAAUGCAAUCAUCUACUGCAAUAUUAUUUAUGCUCACUGUCAAACAUGCAAUAUGGAUUGAGCUGAGGCAUUGAUAUGUGAGAUGUAAGAAUCGGGCAUAGACGCUCCUAUUGAUAUAUAUCAUACCAUGAUGGAUGGUUAAAACAAUGAUUGGCAAUGGAAAUAAAUGCCUGAUUGUGUUUGACCGACUCAAGGAAUGUGGCUUUAGACCUUCAGUUAUCAGUUACGGAUGUCUCAUCAAUCUUUACACUAAGUAAGGUAUAAGUUCUGUUUCGUGUCUUUUGUCCCAAUAGGGCAUGGUGUAUAUCGGAUAGGUUUCUAAUUUCUCCCUCUUGGGCAAUGUUCAUUAGGGCCUCUCUAUUAUGGGCUAUGUGUUUUCUCUUGUAUACACCUAGUGUAUACGGUUACGUCUAUUGAUAUUAAUAUAUUUUUACUUAUAAAAAAAAAUAGUUAUUUUUUUUGUUUCCAUAUUAGACUUGUUGGGCUAUCUUUGUUAAAGGAAUACAAAAAGACUGCCUGUGGUUUUAUUCUUUU